rnacentral:lncRNA from 1 species
AACCUUGUGCAGGUGGGUGAUGGAACUACUCCCACUGUAGUUCUUGCUGGGUGAGCUCUCUCAGAAGAGGCUAAAACCUGUUCUUGGAAAUGGGAGUCCUUUCACAGAGUCUAAUCCGAAGUUGCAGGACUGCAGUCAGUAUCUCACUGCUCUCUCUCUCUCUCUCUCUCUCUCUUUCUUGGUAAUGAAUGCUCAUUGAAUUGAAUAACAUGUUUUGCAGGGCAUUAACAAAAAAUAAAGAAGUAGGCCUCACCGUAGAAGCGAUGGGCCUUUUGAGGAAAGCAAUCAUUCUGGGGUAUGUAUAUCUUUACUGGUAAUUUCUAAAUAUCUUAUUGAAGCGUCUUAAAUUAUACUGUUGGCUUUAGUGGCUUCCAUAAUAAAUAUAUUAAUGNNNNNNNNNNNNNNNNNNNNAUAUAUAUAUAUAUAUAUAUAUAUAUAUAUAUAUAUAUAUAUAUAUAUAUAUAUAUAUAUAUAUAUAUUCGAUGGAAGUCCAUAGCACCGACAUCACCAGGAAUGUUUUGAUCAUAUGUGAGAUAAAAAUAAGAUACAAUCGAGCUGGAGACAAAGCCUGUAUUACAUGCAAACGUAGUGUUAUUCACACCAACAAAAUCAGAAACGAAGAAAUAUGAUAAUUACUCUGUUGUUGUCGGGAAGAACGCUGAUAAAUACUUGUCAUGGCUGCCUCUGAUCGAAGAACAGAAGAAGGUUUCUUUCUCUCUUCACCUCCCUUGGAACAGUGGACCGGCAAUCGGGGUCG